AGUGAGGAUUCGUCCGAGAUCGUGUUUUUGCUAGUUGAAAACUAUAACCUAUGACCACUCCUAGUUGGCUUCGGCUGGCUAGGGAAUUUUUGACACGUUU
rnacentral:snRNA from 1 species